rnacentral:rRNA from 1 species
UAACAGGAAAUUUAAGGGCGUACGGUGGAUGCCUUGACUUUAAGAGGCGAUGAAGGACGUGGCGUUGCUGCGAUAAGCUUCGGGGAGGUGCUUAGCAACCUUUGAUCCGGAGAUUUCCGAAUGGGGAAACCCUGUUGAGUAUACCUCAACAAUUUUUAUCUUUAUGAUAAAAGAGCGCACCCUGGGAAGUGAAACAUCUCAGUACCAGGAGGAGUAGAGACAAAUAUGUAUUUCCCCAGUAGCGGCGAGCGAAAAGGAAGAAGCCCAAACCCGCACACUUACUUUGCCAUUGUGUUUUUGUUGCAUCGUUAAGUUUUUUCUAGAAAUUAUUUUUAGAUAAAAUUUUUACUUUGUACAAAGAUUAUUUAAAACACAAUGCAACGAUGGCAAAGUAAGUGUUCGGGGGUUGUAAGAUAGCAGUUUAGAAUUUAAUUUUUAGAGGAGUCAAAAAAUAAGUUAUUAGCUUAAGUUGCUGGAAAGCGACACCAUAGGAGGUGAUAGUCCCGUGAGCGAAAAUAAUUUAUCUCUUUUAUUGCUAUU